rnacentral:rRNA from 1 species
UACGGGAGGCAGCAGUGGGGAAUAUUGCACAAUGGGCGCAAGCCUGAUGCAGCCAUGCCGCGUGUAUGAAGAAGGCCUUCGGGUUGUAAAGUACUUUCAGCAGUGAGGAAGGUGGGUAUGUUAAUAGCAUACUCAUUUGACGUUAGCUGCAGAAGAAGCACCGGCUAACUCCGUGCCAGCAGCCGCGGUAAUACGGAGGGUGCGAGCGUUAAUCGGAAUUACUGGGCGUAAAAGCGCAUGCAGGUGGUUUGUUAAGUCAGAUGUGAAAAGCCCGGGGCUCAACCUCGGAAUUGCAUUUGAAAACUGGCAAACUAGAGUACUGUAGAGGGGGUAGAAUUUCAGGUGUAGCGGUGAAAAUGCGUAGAGAUCUGAAGGAAUACCGGUGGCGAAGGCGGCCCCCUGGACAGAUACUGACACUCAGAUGCGAAAGCGUGGGGAGCAAACAGGAUUAGAUACCCUGGUAG